GAUUCGGACUCAUGCAGUAUUAACGCCCGAACCUUGUCAGGGUCGGAAGACAGCAGCAAUAAGGGAUGCUUAACACAGGCGUGAUC
rnacentral:SRP_RNA from 1 species